GGCGAUCAGAUACCGCCCUAGUUCUAACCGUAAACGAUGACAACCAGCGAUUAAUCGGCGUUAAUUUAUGACCCGAUUAGCAGCUUCCGGGAAACCAAAGUUUUUCGUUUCCGGGGGAAGUAUGGUUGCAAAGCUGAAACUUAAAGGAAUUGACGGAAGGGCACCACCAGGAGUGGAGCCUGCGGCUUAAUUUGACUCAACACGGGAAAACUCACCCGGCCCGGACACCGUAAGGAUUGACAGACUGAGAGCUCUUUCUUAAUUCGGUGGGUGGUGGUGCAUGGCCGUUCUUAGUUGGUGGAGCGAUUUGUCUGGUUAAUUCCGAUAACGAACGAGACUCUGGCCUAUUAAAUAGACGGUGUAUUUAAAAGUACGUCGCGCUUCUUAGAGGGACAAGCGGCGUCUAGCCGCAUGAAAUAGAGCAAUAACAGGUCUGUGAUGCCCUUAGAUGUCCGGGGCUGCACGCGCGCUACACUGAAAGAAUCAGUGGGCGUUAUACCUAGUCCGGAAGGACCGGGUAACCCAAGUAAAUUCUUUCGUGCUUGGGAUAGGGAAUUGCAAUUAUUUCCCUUGAACGAGGAAUUCCCAGUAAAUGCGGGUCAUAAGCUCGCGUUGAUUACGUCCCUGCCCUUUGUA
rnacentral:rRNA from 1 species